CUUUCCUACGCUAAAAACCACUGAGUGGAGUAUUUAGUACACAGGAAGUCGGCCAGAGAAACAUUUCUCAUAUUUGAAGGCCGGAAAGAGGGACAUUUCUGACACCGGAAGUCAGUGAGAGGACUCUUUCCCACACAGGAAGUCAGCUAGAGAGCCGUCUCCCCUCUCUGGAGCCGAGAGAGGCCGGUUUCCCCCACCGUAGCCCACCUGGGAGGAAUUUUCCAGAGAUCACUGUCUGAUGACCCUGUCUUGGAAUUGGAGCCAUGCAAGUUACACUGACCACGUUUGGGUUGGGAUAUUGAGGAGGUUAUGGUUAAAAGCAUACGAUGGGAGAUCAUAUUGUACUUGCGAGUGAGACCCGGCUGGAGGAAUGUUUUAAUUCUUCGGAAAUACCAAGUGGUCUCUAGAUGGGUUUUCACUAUUUUUCCCAGGCUAGUCUCCAACUUCUGGGCUCAAGCGAUCCACCCGCCUUGGCCUCCUAAGUCCUAGGAUUAUAGGUAUGAGCCACUGCGCCUGGCCUUUUUGCCUUUUGAAAGUAUCUGUUGUUAACAAUAUUCAAUUGGGUUGAAUCUUGCUAGGGACCAAGGUGAAUUUGCAUAAAUUAGUCUAUGCCAAUUUGCAUACUAUCAGCAAAUUUGUAGUGUACAGAAUUUUGGAA
rnacentral:lncRNA from 10 species